rnacentral:lncRNA from 1 species
AUGGCCACAAAGCCCAGAGCUGAGCAGAUCCAAAGCCAGGAGCCAGGAGCUUCUUCCUGGUCUCCCAUGCAGGUGCAGGGCCCAAGGACUUGGGCCGUCCUCCACUGCUUUCCCAGGCCACAGCAGAGAGCUGGAUGGAAAUGGAGCAGCCGGGACUGGAACCCAUAUGAGAUGCCGGCACCGCAGGAGACAGCUUCACCCGCUAUGCCACAACGCCGGCCCCUUGAGCAGCUUUGUGCUGUUUCUCCUGGGUCCCGUCCUGCCAGGUUUCUGGUUACAAGGGCAGGCUUUGGAGCUGGCCAGCCUGACUUCUGUCCCAGCUUGGCUUCCUUCAGGUGGCCUUGAUGACAGCUGGCAGAGGGGACUGUUGAGGUGAGUCCUCCAGCAAGGAUCACAGGAGGAGACAGACAGCCCCAUCCAGGGAACGGAGACACAACUUUCGUGGGAAAUUCACAGAUACGUGUUUUUUUAAUAUUUUAUUUAAUUAAUUAAUUAAUU